rnacentral:rRNA from 1 species
AAGGGCAGCCUAAAUAUCCCAGAGUUACCAGAUUUCAUCUGAUUUUGAGAGCUAAGCAGGAUCAGGCUUAGUUAGUACUUAAAUGGGAGACCACCAAUGAAUUUAAGGGGUUGUAGACU